rnacentral:lncRNA from 1 species
GGGUGCACGUGAAUAAAAUGAAAAGAAAAGAAUGGUGAUUAAAUGGGAGAGCUGCUCCACGUGAUUUUCUUGGAAAAAUGGUGCAGCAGGCCCAUAAGCAAUUAAUAUUAAUGCAGGAAAGAUCACUUUAGAAUAUUUUUGAAAUUUUGUUUUAUUUGGUAAUAAUUCGAAUCAACAUUAUGACAAUUAUUGCAAAGAAUAAUUAAAAAUAAUAUAUUGAUUGUUGUAUUCAAUUUGUUCCUAAAGA